rnacentral:rRNA from 1 species
GCCCUUUCGGGGGUACACGAGCGGCGAACGGGUGAGUAACACGUGAGCAAUCUGCCCUUCACUUUGGGAUAACCACCGGAAACGGUGGCUAAUACCGAAUAUGACCAGUCUCUGCAUGGAGUGCUGGUGGAAAGUUCCGGCGGUGGAGGAUGAGCUCGCGGCCUAUCAGCUUGUUGGUGGGGUAAUGGCCUACCAAGGCGACGACGGGUAGCCGGCCUGAGAGGGUGACCGGCCACACUGGGACUGAGACACGGCCCAGACUCCUACGGGAGGCAGCAGUGGGGAAUAUUGGACAAUGGGCGAAAGCCUGAUCCAGCAACGCCGCGUGAGGGAUGACGGCCUUCGGGUUGUAAACCUCUUUCAGUAGGGACGAAGCUAACGUGACGGUACCUACAGAAGAAGCACCGGCCAACUACGUGCCAGCAGCCGCGGUAAUACGUAGGGUGCGAGCGUUGUCCGGAAUUAUUGGGCGUAAAGGGCUCGUAGGCGGUUUGUCGCGUCGGGAGUGAAAACUCGGGGCUUAACUCCGAGCCUGCUUCCGAUACGGGCAGACUAGAGGUAUGCAGGGGAGAACGGAAUUCCUGGUGUAGCGGUGAAAUGCGCAGAUAUCAGGAGGAACACCGGUGGCGAAGGCGGUUCUCUGGGCAUUACCUGACGCUGAGGAGCGAAAGUGUG